rnacentral:sRNA from 1 species
GACGACGGACUUGCCGUCGGCGAUGACCCGCAUCGGCGAGGGUGCUUCGUAAUUGAAGCGGAUGCGUCCCGGCCGGCGGAUAUAGAACUUGC